rnacentral:rRNA from 1 species
UCAUGCAAGUGAACGAGAAAGUUUUCUUCGGAAAGCGAGUAAAGUGGCGCACGGGUGAGUAACGCGUGAAUAAUCUACCCCUGAAUUUGGGAUAACAGUUCGAAAGGGCUGCUAAUACCGGAUGAAAUAAUCCUUACCACGGUUUGGGUUAUCAAAGAGGGCCUCUCCUUGGAAGCUCUUGUUUGGGGAUGAGUUCGCGUACCAUUAGCUUGUUGGUGGGGUAAGAGCCUACCAAGGCUUCGAUGGUUAGCUGGUCUGAGAGGAUGAUCAGCCACACUGGAACUGACACACGGUCCAGACUCCUACGGGAGGCAGCAGUGAGGAAUUUUGCGCAAUGGGGGAAACCCUGACGCAGCAACGCCGCGUGAGUGAUGAAGGCUCUUGGGUCGUAAAGCUCUGUCAAGUGGGAAGAACCUCUCCUUAUUUAAAAGAUGGGGAGACUGACGGUACCACUGAAGGAAGCACCGGCUAACUCCGUGCCAGCAGCCGCGGUAACACGGGGGGUGCAAGCGUUAUUCGGAAUUAUUGGGCGUAAAGGGCGCGUAGGCGGCCAUUUAAGUCGGGUGUGAAAUCCCGGGGCUUAACCCCGGAACUGCAUCCGAUACUGGAUGGCUUGAGUAUGGGAGAGGGAAGUGGAAUUCCAGGUGUAGAGGUGAAAUUCGUAGAUAUCUGGAGGAACACCAGUGGCGAAGGCGACUUCCUGGACCAAUACUGACGCUGAGGCGCGAAGGCGUGGGGAGCAAACAGGAUUAGAACCCUGGUAUCCACGCAUGAAAGG